rnacentral:tRNA from 1 species
GCGGGUUUCAAGGGUGCAGUUCAUAGGAUUCAUAAUCCUGGGGUCGAGGGUUCAAGUCCCCCCAUCACCACCA